GAGGUUUGAGCCUUCCUGAGAGCAGUGUCCCCAAGAGGGCCCACAGCGGAGCCCACAGGUCCUGGGCCCCUGUGCGGGAAUCAUCGGUCCUCCAUCCCAGUUCUUGCCCGACCCAGAGUCCUCAAGAGAAGAGGACCCGAGAGCCCCUCUCGGCCUCCGUCCACUCCUUCCCUGCAGGUGGAGGGGAGGAGACCCCAGUGCAACGUCGCCAAGGUGCACAGGGGGUCACCGCUGCCCGAGAAACUUCCUCCCACCACACUGGUGGGCCCAGGGUAUUAGGGGCUGGCAGGACUGGAGUUCAGGGACAAGUCCCAGCGCUUCGUCUCCUGGGAGCCGAGGCCCCUGUCUUCCGGGAGGCCAGGAUGUGUGGCCACGUGUGUCCGGAAGCACUAGUCAGCUCCGUGGGCAGCCACACCGAGGUACCGUGGCUUAGCCCCGGCACGUCCGUGCCCCUCACGCGGCCCAUCUGCGGUUCAGGAGGAGCUGGGCUCAGCUGGGCCGGGCUUCCAGGCUGCAGAGGAGGCUCAGGCUUCCACACCUUCGCCUUUGGCCUCCUGGCACCAGCAGGCUGCCCAGGGCAUUCUCUUCCCACGCCAGUGCCCACGGCCAAGGCACGAGACACCAGCCAAGUGCAAAAGCGUAUUUAGGACUUUGCACAGGCUGCGUCCGCGAGCACACCGUUGGCGCAAAUCCAACUCCCAUCCAAGCUUCACCUCGGCGGACCAGACACCGUGCCUCUAGGGGUGGGAAGGCGGCAGAGGGCCUGGACGAGGGAGGAGGUGAAGGUUGGGGCCGGUCUGCAAUCUUCUUCUUGUGCUGCCUGUCUACACUUGGGGGCUCCCGGGCCUGGUUUUCUCAGCCAGUCCUGCUUUCGGUUGGGGGCUCGGAGCCGGCCGGGAGAGUAUCCGGGGAAAGGACCACACUUCAGGUUUAUUUAUGAAAAAAAAAUACUGCGGUAUUAUUGCAGAGGAAGAAACAUGUUCGUCAAAGCAUAUGGAUCUCGACAUACUAACCAUCAUCAACUGUAAUCAAGUAGCUGGUCUGGCUUCUUUCGCUUAGCAGAGUGUUUCUGACGUCCACCUGGCUUGUAGCACGGGUCAGUGCCUGAUCGUCUUCUCCAUCACCUCCGCUCCCGGGGUGAGUGUGUGUGAGGGGG